AUGAACGCUGGCGGCGUGCCUAAUACAUGCAAGUCGAGCGAACAGACGAGGAGCUUGCUCCUCUGACGUUAGCGGCGGACGGGUGAGUAACACGUGGAUAACCUACCUAUAAGACUGGGAUAACUUCGGGAAACCGGGGCUAAUACCGGAUAAUAUAUUUAACCGCAUGGUUCAAUAGUGAAAGACGGUUUUGCUGUCACUUAUAGAUGGAUCCGCGCCGCAUUAGCUAGUUGGUAAGGUAACGGCUUACCAAGGCAACGAUGCGUAGCCGACCUGAGAGGGUGAUCGGCCACACUGGAGCGGAGACACGGUCCAGACUCCUACGGGAGGCAGCAGUAGGGAAUCUUCCGCAAUGGGCGAAAGCCUGACGGAGCAACGCCGCGUGAGUGAUGAAGGUCUUCGGAUCGUAAAACUCUGUUAUUAGGGAAGAACAAAUGUGUAAGUAACUAUGCACGUCUUGACGGUAACUAAUCAGAAAGCCACGGCUAACUACGUG
rnacentral:rRNA from 1 species